UACGUAGGGUGCGAGCGUUGUCCGGAAUUAUUGGGCGUAAAGAGCUCGUAGGCGGUGUGUCACGUCGGCCGUGAAAACCUGCAGCUUAACUGUGGGCGUGCGGUCGAUACGGGCAUCACUGGAGUUCGGCAGGGGAGACUGGAAUUCCUGGUGUAGCGGUGAAAUGCGUAGAUAUCUGGAGGAACACCGGUGGCGAAGGCGGCAUCCUGGACCAACACUGACGCUGAGGAGCGAAAGCCAGGGGAGCAAACGGG
rnacentral:rRNA from 1 species